rnacentral:rRNA from 1 species
GCAUAUCAAUAAGCGGAGGAAAAGAAACCAACAGGGGAUUGCCUCAGUAACGGCGAGUGAAGCGGCAACAGCUCAAAUUUGAAAUCUGGCCGUGAGGUCCGAGUUGUAAUUUGUAGAGGAUGUUUUGGGCACCGCAGCCGGAUAAAUUUCUUGGAACAGAAUGUCAUAGAGGGUGAGAGUCCCGUCUUGACCGGCCGUAGGACCUGUGUAAAACUCCUUCGACGAGUCGACUUGUUUGGGAAUGCAGGUCAAAAUGGGUGGUAAAUUUCAUCUAAAGCUAAAUAUGGGCCAGAGACCGAUAGCGCACAAGUAGAGUGAUCGAAAGAUGAAAAGCACUUUGAAAAGAGAGUUAAACAGUAUGUGAAAUUGUUGAAAGGGAAGCGCAGGCAACCAGACUCGAGCGCGGGGUUCCCCCUUCCUUUUGGUUGGGCUACUUCCCCGUGACCGGGCCAUCAUCAGUUUUGGGGGCGGGUUAAAGGCCUUGGGAAUGUAUCUACCCCUCCGGGGGUAGACUUAUAGCCCUCGGUGUCAUGCCGCCUCCCGGGACUGAGGAACGCGCUUCGGCGAGGAUGAUGGCGUAAUGGUUGUCUGCGACCCGUCUUGAAACACGGACCAAGGAGUCUAACAUCUAUGCGAGUGUUCGGGUGUCAAACCCUUGCGCGGAAUGAAAGUGAACGGAGGUAGGAAGGCCUGAGCCUGCACUAUCGACCGAUCCUGAUGUCUUCGGAUGGAUUUGAGUAAGAGCAUAGCUGUUGGGACCCGAAAGAUGGUGAACUAUGCGUGAAUAGGGUGAAGCCAGAGGAAACUCUGGUGGAGGCUCGCAGCGGUUUCUGACGUGCAAAUCGAUCGUCAAAUUUGCGUAUAGGGGCGAAAGACUAAUCGAACCAUCUGGUAGCUGGUUCCUGCCGA